GACGAACGCUGGCGGCGUGCUUAACACAUGCAAGUCGAACGGGCCUUGUCCCCUUUUUUUUUGGGGGUGGGGUUAGUGGCGAACGGGUGAGUAACACGUGAGUAACCUGCCCCUCACUUCUGGAUAACCGCUUGAAAGGGUGGGUAAUACGGGGUGUUCUGGCCUGCUCGCAUGGGUGGGUUUGGAAAGAUUCGACCGGUUUGGUUGUUUUGGUGGGGGAUGGGCUCGCGGCCUAUCAGCUUGUUGGUGGGGUGAUGGCCUGCCAAGGCUUUGACGGGUAGCCGGCCUGAGAGGGUGGGCGGUCACACUGGGACUGAGACACGGCCCAGACUCCUACGGGAGGCAGCAGUGGGGAAUAUUGCACAAUGGGCGCAAGCCUGAUGCAGCGACGCCGCGUGAGGGAUGGAGGCCUUCGGGUUGUGAACCUCUUUCGCCAGUGAAGAAGGUCCUGCUCUUUGUGGUGGGGUUGACGGUAGCUGGGUUAAUGAAGCGCCGGCUAACUACGUG
rnacentral:rRNA from 1 species